UGUGUGUGUGUGUGUGUGUGUGUAUGUGUAUGUGUGUGUUUAUGCAUCUUUCUUAAACAAAAAAGCAUCAACAAGAAAACACAAACUGAAAAUAUUCUACAAAUAUCUUGGUAUAGUGUCUGUCUGAAACAUCUUUAAAAUACCCCCCCCCCACCCCCCCACCCCAAAAAAAGAAAGAAAAGAAAGAAAACAAAUGCUUUCAGACCCCAAAACAAAAAACAAGCAAGAACAAAAAGAACAACAAGAACAAAAAGAAACACACGCCUUCAAACCUUGAGAUCACCAUUAGCAAAGAAAAUUAUUAUCCCUACUUAGAGAUCUUAUAUCGUCACGUUGAAAAGAUAUUGCAAGAAGCUCAUUUCUUGGUGUCAAUUAUUCAUGACCAAGUGAAGGAGAAAAUAUGGAUUUACGCAUUUUUGGAAUUAUCGGAUUAAGUCAAUCAUUCGUAGGUGAUUAAGUGACUGAAUGACAAUGAUGUUAUGGUGUAGUGCAAAGUGAGUGAUUAAUGAAUGUUUGAUUGAAUAGAUAGAGAGAAAGAGAUAAUAGAAAAGGAUGAAGCCAUGGCAUGAAAGGGUGAAUACAGAAGAUAAGAGAGAACGAAAACAAGAAAAAAAACGAAGAUGAAUAGAAAAAAAUAAAGAGGGAUGACAAAAUAAUAAAA
rnacentral:lncRNA from 1 species